UGUGGAGUCAAAGUGGCAUGUUUUAAAUUAUAAUUUGAUUUGUGUCUCAAAUGCUCCAAUAUCAACAUGAUAUCCGAACGGCAUCCUGCAUAAUCAUCAUAUUAUAGCAGAUGACUUGUGUUUGUGUACAGUA
rnacentral:snoRNA from 1 species